rnacentral:rRNA from 1 species
CUUAAAUGAAUUGACGGGGCCCGCACAAGCGGUGGAGCAUGUGGUUUAAUUCGAAGCAACGCGAAGAACCUUACCAGGUCUUGACAUCCCCUGACACCCGAGAGAUCGGGCGUUCCCCCCUUCGGGGGACAGGGUGACAGGUGGUGCAUGGUUGUCGUCAGCUCGUGUCGUGAGAUGUUGGGUUAAGUCCCGCAACGAGCGCAACCCUCGACCUUAGUUGCCAGCAUUCAGUUGGGCACUCUAAGGUGACUGCCGGCUAAAAGUCGGAGGAAGGUGGGGAUGACGUCAAAUCAUCAUGCCCCUUAUGACCUGGGCUACACACGUGCUACAAUGGGCGGUACAAAGGGUCGCGAACCCGCGAGGGGGAGCCAAUCCCAAAAAGCCGCUCUCAGUUCGGAUUGCAGGCUGCAACUCGCCUGCAUGAAGCCGGAAUCGCUAGUAAUCGCAGGUCAGCAUACUGCGGUGAAUACGUUCCCGGGCCUU